rnacentral:misc_RNA from 1 species
UACGGAGGGUGCAAGCGUUGUCCGGAUUUAUUGGGUUUAAAGGGUGCGUAGGCGGGUUAUUAAGUCAGUGGUGAAAGCCCACAGCUCAACUGUGGAACUGCCAUUGAUACUGGUGAUCUUGAAUUCAGUUGAGGUAGGCGGAAUUGAUGGUGUAGCGGUGAAAUGCAUAGAUACCAUCAAGAACACCGAUUGCGAAGGCAGCUUACUGGACUUGAAUUGACGCUGAUGCACGAAAGCGUGGGGAGCGAACAGG